UGAUCGUCCACGAUAUGAUUCCACCUUGGCUACGAGGGGAGUCGGGCACCUUGUCCGCAAGGGCACUGGUGGAAGAUCGUCCGUUAGUGGGAUUGUGGCUACUGUCUUUGGAGCUACUGGAUUCCUUGGCCGUUAUGUUGUACAGCAACUAGCUAAAAUGGGGUCCCAAGUGUUAGUCCCUUUUCGAGGUUCUGAAGAUUCACCUCGUCAUCUUAAAUUAAUGGGAGAUCUGGGACAGAUAGUACCAAUGAAAUACAACCCAAGAGAUGAAAGUUCAAUAAAAGCUGUAAUGGCAAAGGCUAAUGUGGUCCUUAAUCUUAUUGGAAGGGAGUAUGAAACAAGAAACUACAGCUUUGAGGA
rnacentral:misc_RNA from 1 species